rnacentral:rRNA from 1 species
CAGGACGAACGCUGGCGGCGUGCUUAACACAUGCAAGUCGAACGAUGAAGCCCUUCGGGGUGGAUUAGUGGCGAACGGGUGAGUAACACGUGGGCAAUCUGCCCUUCACUCUGGGACAAGCCCUGGAAACGGGGUCUAAUACCGGAUAACACCUGCCUGGGCAUCUGGGUGGGUUAAAAGCUCCGGCGGUGAAGGAUGAGCCCGCGGCCUAUCAGCUUGUUGGUGAGGUAGUGGCUCACCAAGGCGACGACGGGUAGCCGGCCUGAGAGGGCGACCGGCCACACUGGGACUGAGACACGGCCCAGACUCCUACGGGAGGCAGCAGUGGGGAAUAUUGCACAAUGGGCGAAAGCCUGAUGCAGCGACGCCGCGUGAGGGAUGACGGCCUUCGGGUUGUAAACCUCUUUCAGCAGGGAAGAAGCGAGAGUGACGGUACCUGCAGAAGAAGCGCCGGCUAACUACGUGCCAGCAGCCGCGGUAAUACGUAGGGCGCAAGCGUUGUCCGGAAUUAUUGGGCGUAAAGAGCUCGUAGGCGGCUUGUCACGUCGGGUGUGAAAGCCCGGGGCUUAACCCCGGGUCUGCAUUCGAUACGGGCUAGCUAGAGUGUGGUAGGGGAGAUCGGAAUUCCUGGUGUAGCGGUGAAAUGCGCAGAUAUCAGGAGGAACACCGGUGGCGAAGGCGGAUCUCUGGGCCAUUACUGACGCUGAGGAGCGAAAGCGUGGGGAGCGAACAGGAUUAGAUACCCUGGUAGUCCACGCCGUAAACGGUGGGAACUAGGUGUUGGCGACAUUCCACGUCGUCGGUGCCGCAGCUAACGCAUUAAGUUCCCC